rnacentral:precursor_RNA from 1 species
CCCGUGUGCCGUGCUCCAGCGUGGUGUGGGCCACUCAGCUCUGCUGGAGGACGCCCGGUGU